rnacentral:rRNA from 1 species
UAGGGAAUCUUCGGCAAUGGACGAAAGUCUGACCGAGCAACGCCGCGUGAGUGAAGAAGGUUUUCGGAUCGUAAAACUCUGUUGUUAGAGAAGAACAAGGACGUUAGUAACUGAACGUCCCCUGACGGUAUCUAACCAGAAAGCCACGGCUAACUACGUGCCAGCAGCCGCGGUAAUACGUAGGUGGCAAGCGUUGUCCGGAUUUAUUGGGCGUAAAGCGAGCGCAGGCGGUUUCUUAAGUCUGAUGUGAAAGCCCCCGGCUCAACCGGGGAGGGUCAUUGGAAACUGGGAGACUUGAGUGCAGAAGAGGAGAGUGGAAUUCCAUGUGUAGCGGUGAAAUGCGUAGAUAUAUGGAGGAACACCAGUGGCGAAGGAGGCUCUCUGGUCUGUAACGGACGCUGAGGCUCGAAAGCGUGGGGAGCAAACAGG